AAAAACGAGAACUUUUAAUCAUUCAAUCAAUACCAUCCUCUCUCUUCUGUGACGUGACGUGACGUUCUUGGAACUCCUCCGGUAACCCGUUCGUACAGAGAUCCGAGGAGUUUGGAAAAUUUUCAAUCUCUGAUUUUUCUGUUCACUCUGUUCCUCCUAAAUCUUCCGCCUCCUCGAUUUAUCGCCCUCGCAUUCAGAUAUGGCUGGUAUGGCAGCUGAAGGAUCCCAAUUUGAUGCACGUCAAUUUGAUUCCAAGAUGAAUGAUUUGCUUGGGGGAGAUGGCCAAGACUUUUUCACCUCAUAUGAUGAAGUCUAUGAGAGUUUUGAUUCCAUGGGUUUGCAGGAGAAUCUCUUAAGAGGAAUAUAUGCUUAUGGUUUUGAGAAGCCUUCUGCAAUUCAGCAAAGAGGUAUUGUUCCAUUCUGUAAGGGACUUGAUGUUAUCCAACAGGCACAAUCUGGAACUGGAAAAACAGCCACUUUCUGCUCUGGAAUUUUGCAGCAGCUAGAUUAUGGCCUAGUUGAUUGCCAGGCAUUAGUUCUUGCACCCACCCGAGAACUGGCACAACAGAUUGAAAAGGUAAUGCGUGCAUUAGGUGAUUAUCUUGGUGUCAAGGUCCAUGCUUGUGUUGGUGGAACCAGUGUUCGCGAAGAUCAACGCAUUCUCUCAAGUGGUGUCCAUGUUGUUGUUGGCACCCCUGGUCGUGUGUUCGAUAUGCUGCGGAGGCAGUCACUUCGCCCCGAUCACAUUAAGAUGUUUGUGCUGGAUGAAGCUGAUGAAAUGCUUUCACGAGGGUUCAAGGAUCAGAUUUACGAUAUUUUCCAGCUUCUUCCUCCAAAGAUUCAGGUUGGGGUUUUCUCUGCUACAAUGCCCCCUGAAGCUCUCGAGAUAACAAGGAAAUUUAUGAAUAAACCCGUGAGAAUUUUGGUGAAACGUGAUGAGCUCACCCUUGAGGGUAUCAAGCAAUUCUAUGUCAACGUCAAUAAAGAAGAGUGGAAACUCGAGACUCUUUGCGACCUUUAUGAAACUCUUGCAAUUACCCAGAGUGUCAUUUUUGUGAAUACCAGGCGCAAAGUUGAUUGGCUGACCGAUAAGAUGCGCAGCCGUGACCACACUGUUUCUGCCACACAUGGAGACAUGGACCAAAACACUAGAGAUAUCAUCAUGCGGGAGUUUCGAUCUGGUUCAUCCCGUGUUCUCAUUACUACUGAUCUCUUGGCUAGGGGAAUCGAUGUCCAACAAGUUUCCCUCGUCAUAAAUUUUGAUCUUCCUACUCAGCCAGAGAAUUACCUCCAUCGAAUCGGUCGUAGUGGACGAUUUGGAAGGAAGGGUGUUGCCAUCAAUUUUGUGACCACAGAGGAUGAAAGAAUGCUGUUUGACAUCCAAAAGUUCUACAAUGUCAUGGUCGAGGAGCUGCCAGCAAACGUUGCCGAUCUCAUUUGAUGCAGUUCUAAUUCAGCCAGGAUCAUUGAACAUGUCUUCCACGGAUUAAAUGGAUUCUCUAUACUUGACUCGACUCGACUCUGAGCUGGAAUGUUGGAAAAGAAAGAAGAAGAGGUUCUUACGGAAGCUCGUCGAUGCAGAUUGAGAGCUAUUACGGGCCACCGAAGAGCCAGAUUCCUGGGAAACAAGACAAAAGAAGUUCUGGAUCUUCUUCAAAAUCAUUCAAAUUUUCAGAUCCUGAGUUUCAAAGGAAGAAAAGGGUUGCCAGUUACAAGAUGUACUCUGUUGAAGGCAAGAUGAAAGGCUCCUUCAGAAAGAGCUUCAGAUGGCUCAAGGAUAAGUACACCCAAAUGCUUUAUGGCUGGUGGUGAGUUUCUUAUGGAAGAUCCAACAAAUUCUGUAUCUGGGAUGAUUUCCAUUCGAUUAAAUAGUCUUCUUUUUGUGAUUUUUUCUGGGAAAUUUCUGUUCAUGUUCUUCAUUGUUCAUCAUUGUUCAUCAUCUGAUCUGUUUGUUUUGGUUGGAUACUCUUUUGGGAGUUAUGAAUGUUGAAAUGUUGAAAUGUAAACAAGUGAAUCAGUCAAACUUUGCAAAUAAAAGCUAUCUUUUUUCUCUUUUCA